rnacentral:lncRNA from 1 species
GGUAGAAUGGUCAGUACCUAAGACUUGCAGGUCAGCCGCAAGCGUCGAGGUGAGCUUCCACCAUUGACGAUUUAAUUAAUAGGCUUGAGACCCAUCCCCCUUGAGGUCUUUAUAACCAAGUCCUUUUUCAGACCUUUAGUAAACGGAUUCGCUAAAUUUUCACUAGACCUCACAUAACUUAUAGUGACUAUACCGUCAUUAAUCCUUUACCUUACAAUGCUGUGUCGAAGUCCAAUAUAUCGACUAUUUCCAUUGUAAGCUUGAUUAUAUGCCUUUGAUACAGUUACUUCAUUAUCGCAACGUAUCAAGAUUGGUGCCAUUGGCUUAGGCCACAGCGAAAUUUUAUAAAGUAAGUCUUUCAACCAUUCCACUUCUUGGGUGGCAGAUGUUAAGGCUAUAAAUUUAGCCGCCAUGGUGGAGUCCGCUUGACAAGACUGUUUUUUAGAACCCCAAGAAACAGCACCCCCACCAAGUGUAAAAAUCUAUCCAGUCAUGGAUGUGUAAUUCAGUCUAUUUGAGUUUCAACUGGCAUCUGUAUACCUUUCUAGAACCGAAGAAAAACCUGAAUAGCAGAUGCCAUAAUUUUCUGUACUCUUUAAGUACCUUAGAACUCUAUGAACAACAUACCAAUACUGUUUACUCGAAUUACUAGUAAACCAACUUAGCAUCCCAACCGCAAAUGUAAUAUCCGGCUUUGUACAGAUCAUUGCAUACAUAAGGCAUCCAAUCACCCUUACAUAUUCAUUUUGUGUUAUUGGCUUGUCUUAAUUGGCUACUAGCCUUAGAUUAGAAUCAUAAGGCAUAUUCAUGGGCAUACAAUAUGACUUUCCAUACUUCAUUACAAUCUUUUUGACGUAAUGAGAUUGAAACAAUGUUAGGCCACUAUUGUCUCUUAUUAUUCUUAUACCAAGAAUAACAUCUGUCAUGCCCAUAUUUUUCAUGUCAAAAUUCAUUGAUAAGAACCUUUUUGUGUUUUUCACUUGUUCCAAAUCGGUACCGAAUAGUAACAUGUCAUCCACAUAUAAGCAAAUGAUGACACCUCUACCGUUAUGGAACUUACUAUAGACACACUUGUCAGAUUGAUUGAUCUUGUAGCCAUUAGCUAGCACAACCUCAUCCAACUUUUGAUGCCAUUGUUUAGGUGCUUGUUUUAAUCCAUACAAGGAUUUUACAAGCUUACACACUUUCCUUUCUUGACCAGGAAAGACAACCCUUUGGGUUGUUCCAUAUACACCUUUUCAUCUAAGUCACCAUUUAGGAAUGCUGUCUUAACAUUCAUUUGGUGAAUUACCAUCUUAUAUAUAGAUGAAAGUGUCAUAAGCACUCUAAUUGUAGCUAUUCUUGCUACCGGUACAUAUGUAUCAAAAUAAUCAACACCUUCAUUUUGUUUAAAGCCUUUUGCCACUAGCCUUGCUUUAAACUUUUUCACGGUUCCAUCAACUUUUAUUUUCUUUUUGAAAAUCCACUUACAGCCUAUUGGCUUGGAACCUGGUGGAAGGUUUAUCAAUUUCCAUGUUUUGUUUCCCAUUAUUGAGGCCAUCUCAUCUUGUAUUGCUUCUCUUUAAAAGGAAGCAUCCCAAGACUUCAUUGCCUCUUCAUAAGUUUGAGGAUCACCUUUACCUUCUACAUUAAAGCAGUAAGGUAGGUAUUCACAUGUUUCCUCCCUUGUACCUUUUACUAAGUAUAUGAGAAAAUCGGCUCCAUAUUUCUUUGCUUUUCUAAUUUUUUUACUCCUCCGAAGCUCGAUAGUUUUCUCAUAAUUUUCUAAGAAACUAUCACUUUUUGUUAUUUGUUCCUUGGGUCUUGGAAUUGAGCUAAACCUUGUUUCAUCAAAGAUAGCAUCCUUUGAUUCUAUGACCGUAUUUACGAAAUAUGAAUCAUUAGGCUCUAUUACCAUGAAACGAUAUGCUUUACUAUGUUCAACAUAUCCUAUGAAUAUGCAUUCAAUUUUUUUUCACCCAAUUUUCUUUUCUUUGGCUCCGAAACCCUUACUAUGGCUCGACAUCCCUAAACUUUUAAAUAAUUAAGGUUCGACUUUUGUCUUUUUCAUAGUUCAUAAGGAGUAGUUUUACUCCUUUUAUUUGGGAUUCUAUUUAAUAUAUGGCAAGCCGUUAAUAAAGCUUUGUCCUAAAAUCUUUUUCCCAAACCCGAAUUAGAAAGCAAAACAUUGACCAUUUCUGUAAGAACUCGAUUCUUACGUUCCGCUACACCAUUUUGUUCCGAUGUGUAUGGAGUGGUAGUUUAGUGUAUAAUUCCAGUGGAUUCAAAAUACUUGGGAUCAUAAUAUUCACUUCCUCUAUCACUUCGUAAACAUUUAACAAACAAUUCACAAGACAAUUCAACUUCUCUUUUAUAAAUUCUAAAUUUCUCUAUUGUUUCAUUUUUAGCAUGCAAUAAGUAAACAUAGCAAUAUCUAGAGAAGUCAUCAAUAAAUGUUACAAAGUAUUUCUUUCCACCAAUAGAAAGAGUACUAUGCAUGUCACAAACAUCAGAAUGUAUUAAUUCAAGCAAUUUAGUGCUUCUUUCUACCUUAGGAAAUGAACUUCUCGCGAUUUUAGUGGCCAUGCAUGUCUUGCACAUAUCAUUACUUUCAUCAAUGUUGGGUAUUAAUUCUAAGUUAGCCAUAUCAUGCAUUCUUCUAUUGUGAACAUGACCUAAUCUAUUAUGCCAUAGAUUAGUUAGGAUUGCUUCACUGUCAUGAACAUGAAACGAUGCAUCAAUAUAAGCAGAAUUAGCAAUACUUUUAUUGACAUUAAGCUUAAACAUGUUUUCACAAUAAUAUCAGCUUCCCACAUAUUGUCCACCUAUUGUAAAGAUGAACUUAUCUGCUUCAAAUAUUAAUUUGAAGCUAUACUUAUUCAACAAGUCACCUGACACAAGGUUUUUUUUUUACUUCUGGUACAUAAAAGACAUUAUUUAGUACAAGUGUCUUUCCAGAAGUAAACACAAGUUCCAUGGUGCCUUUUCCUUUCACUUGUGUAGUGGAGGAAUUUCCCAUGUAUAGCAUGUUUCCAUCAUCAACUUCUUCCAAAGUCUUGAAGAAACUUUUGUCGUUGCAUACAUGAUUAGUUGCAUCAGUAUCAAUCCACCAUGCUCCAUAAUCUUGGAGAAGAUUGACCUCGAAAACCACAGCCACAAACUUGUGAUUGUUCACACCUUGUGUCUUACUUUUCAAAAGUCUACAUUCUGCCUUAAAGUGACCAAGUUUGUUACAAUAAAAACAUGGCCAUUUUCUGUUCCUUUUGAACUUAAGACUUUUGUCUUUCAUACCUGCGGAAUGUCUUCUUUUGACCGGCUUGUUUGAUGGUUUGUUUUCCAUCACAUAGACCUUUGAAGUCUUAAGAUUCUUCUCAUGAGAAUCUUUUUCUUUUUCAUCUUGCUACAUCUUCUUGUUUCCAAUAAUCUUCUUCUAUUCGAAGAUGAUUACCAAGGUCCUCGAGAGACAUGUCCUCCUUUUUAUGUUUAAGGAAUUUUUUUGUGUCACUCCAUGAAUGGGGAAACUUAUCAAUUAUUGAAGAAACCACAAUAGCUUCAUCCAUUUUAAGAACAUAUCGCUUAAAGCUAUUGAGAAUGAGUUCAAGCUCAUGCAAUUGCUCCAUAACAAAACGAUUAUCAAUCAUUUUAAAGUUAUUGAAAUGACUAACCAGGAAUUUCUUAUUGCUUGCAUCUUUUGCCAUGUAUUAUGCUUCCAACUUGUCCCAAAGUUGCUUUGCACUAGCCUCGUUAUUGUACGCAUUGAACAAUGCAUCCCACAUUCCAUUAAGAAUGUGUCCCAUGCAUAUGUAGUCAUCAUUAUCCCAUUUUUACUUCAAACGAGUUCUUUCCACGGAUUCUUCACCAUCUUCCUCAUUCGAUCGUGGUGUUUCUAGAACAUAUGCAACCUUGAGUGUCGUGAGGAAGAAGCGCAUCUUUUUCUGCCAUCGAAUAAAGUCUCAUCCAUCAAAACGAUCUAACUUGACAAAGUUGGUAGCCAUCUCCUUAAGUGAAGCCAUUUUGAAUACUACGAAGAUAAGUCUUAAAACUGUUGGUGUUUAUGGGGGGUUUUUGAUACGGUAUUCAAGAAUAGGCAAAAUUGGCUUCAAGGUGAGCCUUUCAAAUAGACGUCUAUCUUUAAGACUUAUUUCACUCCCACCACUCUGUAUGCAAAGGGGAAUAACGUGAAUAGUCUCAAGGAUACAAUGAAGCCAACGUUUAACUUUCGUAUCGCACUUACGAAGAAGACCGCUAGAUACACCUUAGGGUUUGCAAAGUUGUUGGGCCUUAUAACCAACUUUCUGCAGCAAGUAGAUGAUAAGGAAUUCAGAAUAUCUUUAAGAUGGUGGGAACUCUAGUGUUUAUGUUUGUAAUAAAACACUUUCUUGCUUUUGCUCUUUACACUUUUGGUAUCUUUGGUAUGUUUUGGUGUUGGUGUUUUUUGUUUUUUCUAAAAUGGUUGAUACCAAGCCUUUUAUAUAGGCUUCCAAGUGUCUAUUCUUGAAGGACACAACCUUUUUGUCUAGAAAGUAUCUUUAUGAUUUUUGCCAACAUAACUUUAGAUGUAGUUAUUGUUUCAAUAGUCAUCUUAUGAAUAGAUAACUAUUUAUCCCACAAGUUAUAACCUUUGAGUUAUAUCUUGAAACAAUAACUAUUCACUUUAACUUUUGAGCAAUGGUAUCUUUUCAAUCAUGUCUCUUAACUUUUGGAUAUGAACUUCCAAGAGAUAUAACCAUUCACAUGAAAACAUGUCUAUAUCUAAUAGACACAUUAUGUCACUUUUCGCAACAUAACUUUUGAGCUAAUGAUAGCUUUUCCAUCAUGUGAAAUAUCCUUUAAUUUUGAAAAUACACCAACAUGACUCUAGGCUUGGGCGCUAACAGUUAGUAUCAUGGUAAACCUAUUGAACAAUGGAUAGCGAGGAUUACCUCGUCUUAGGAUCUAGUCACCUUUUACUCAGAAACCUAAAACAUGAAGUUUAAAAACGUGAGUAUAAACCUAGUAAGUGAAUAUAAGAAGUGAACAAGCAAACAGUAUAAAAAGUUUAGAAAACAUGAUGCACUUAUUUUAAAAAUAAUGCAAUUUAGUUUAAUUUCUUGUUAAAACCCCAUAAUUUAGCCUUUGAUUAUUUAAUCUUUUAAUGUUGAAAAAAAUCCAUGAUCAACCAUGAAGUUGGAAGGUGAAAAUUACUGUAAAUAUCCACACAAAAUAAAAGUUUCUUGUCGCGGCGAAAAUGGAAUUUUGCUGCAGUGAGAAUAGUGUCUGCCACACCUGAAAAUUUCUCGUCGCAGUGAAAAUGAAAUUUCGCUGCAGCGAAAUACAGGGCAAGUGGAAUUAUGGGGAUUUUUGCUGUAUUAAAAUCUGUUCCUGAUGCAACGAAAAUCAAAUUGAACACAUUUGACAAUAAUCAAUCUUUCAACAUUCAAUACAAGCAUAUAUUAUUUUCAUAACCUUUUCUAUAGCAUAUAAAAACAUAUUUAUAGCAUAUAUAUACAAGCAUGUAUAUAAUCACCACCUGACCUAGUUCAUGUGCACUUCGCACAUCACAUAGCAAGAGUUAUUGUGUGCGCCCCCACAUUACGCACAACUAAUGCCAUCAUGUGCUCCCCCCACAUCGCACACAUGGCAUAUAUCAUCAUCAUCGUGUGCAUCCUCACAUUGCUCACAACUAAUGCCAUCAUGUGCUCCCCCCACAUCGCGCACAUAGGCAAUCUCAUCAUCCACACUCCCUCACCCCAUUAUCACUGGCAUGUGCACUCCCACACCGCACAUGCACGGUCAUAAUUAUCAACACACAACAUAUAUAUAUAUAUAUAUGUAUAUAUAUAUAUAUACACACACUAACAUAAUACAAUAGCACAUGGAUUCGUCACAGUCACAUUUCACAACAUAGAAACAUUUCAUCAAGGGCUUGUUCCCAUGCAUGUUUUUUAAGAAAAGAAAAAUAAAUUCUUUCAUGUGAUUCAUUCAACACACAUGCCGAUAUCCCAAAACAUUUAAAUGCAAGUUCACUCACCAGUCCUUGUUGAUGCUUUGAUCGAUUAUAACUUCGACCAAUGCUCUGAAUGGAGAUGUGAGAUUUUGUUGGAACCUAUCACAUCCAAUAGCAUCUCAAUCACCCAAAUUGGCAUUAAUAUAAUUUCAAAAGCUAUUUCCUAACUCAAGUUCAACUAGUUAUUCCUAACGAGUUUCCAAUCACCAUUAAGUGGCUAUUUAUUUCACUACUUUAGUCACCCUAAAAAUGAAUAAAUAACCUCAACAAUAAAACACUCACAAAUCCCGCUGUUAGCCAUUAUCAACAUCUUAAAAAUAAAUCCUAACUUAUUACUCACCUUAGGGUUUCUUUGUAGUUGAAUUCUUUUUCAAAAGCUUUCAAACUAUUGUAGGAAAUCUCUCUCUCUCUCUCUCUCUCUCUCUCUCUCUUUUUAGAAUGUCUAGCUAGUGAGAGAAAGUAUUAAGGAAAGGCUUUUGAGGGUUCUUAAUGUGUAGAAGUGGAAGAGCAUGAAACACCCUAUAAAAGAAUGGGCAAAAGCAUGAAACUUGGACUUUCUAUGAAAGAUUUAUAGAGGAUUCAAGGUUUCUUUUCAUGGAAAAUGAAGAAAAACAUGAAAUGGAAAGAAAGAAUGGGACGAAGAAAAAGGAGCUGCUGGAAGUUGCUGGAACUUAGAUAUUUAUGCUACAAAUUAAUCCAAAUUUCACUUAAUUUACCAAAAUGCCCUUAAUAUGGUGGCUUUGUCUUCCUCCCAUCCUUUUGCAACCUUUUACUCUUUUGACAUUGAGACAAAGUCCAUAAUAGUCUAAAAAUACUCAAGUUCACGAAAACAUAAAAAUUUAGACCCGAUAUGCAAAAUGACCAUUUUACCCCUAUUAUGAAAAUUAUCAGUGUUUCUAUCUUCUUCAUUUAUUUUACCAUCAUUCAUUUAUUCCUUAGGCUCACUUAGACCUUAAUAACAUUAGAAAACUACUUCUAGGAGCUCACCAUGAGAAAUGACGAAAUUACUCUUGAUUCGUGUUAUCGCGUCUACUUCUAGUUACGAGUCUAUGGAGGUCGAGGUUUCACAAUACGAGGGUAUUGGGUGUCACACUAAAGUAAUCCCUUUUUACAAUAAUGAUAAUGGGAUGUGGAUAAAUUUAAAGCAAUUUUACCUAAAUUUAUGGUUAAAGAUAUAGUUGAUAUUCCCAUUGAAAAAUCUUGUGAUGAUGUAGCAUAUUGGGCUCUUUCUUCUAAUGAUGAAUUUUUUACUAAGAGUGUUUAGGAGAUAGUUCGGCAAAAACAUAUUGUAAGUAAUGCUUUUAACUUAGUUUGGCAUAAAAGCAUUUCACUUACAAUUUCAUUCUUUUUUUGGAGAGUUAUUCAUGGAUAGGUACUUGUUGAAGUGCACUUACAGUUUAAGGGUUUUCAAUUAGCAUCAAAAUACGAAUGUUGUAAUUUGGAGGAGACUUUGCUCCAUGUUCUUUGGCAAGGCCCAAUAGCAUGGUAGGUUUAGGACUUCUUUACUCAAAAUUUUCAAGUUUCUGUUAUUCAACCAUAGAACAUUAUGCAAGUUGUUUAGGUGUGGUAUUAUUUUGGUGACUAUAGAAAGUAAGGACACAUUAAAGUCAUGCUACCUAUCUUUAUAUGUUUUUUUUUCCUAUCUUUAUAUGUUGAUUUUUGUGGGUUGAAAAAAAUGGUGCUAAGCACAGGCAACUAGGAGUUUACCCUUAACUAAUUAUAUGACGCAUUAGGAAAUUGUUGAUACAACUUCACAAAAAGGACUUAACAAAAAAAUCACAAUGGAAAGGUGAUUUAGACAUUGCGAAAUUCUGGAAUAUUCACUUUUCAAAUUAGCAACCAAAACCACCCUAAAUAUUUAGAUAAUUGAAGCCAUGCUAGGAUGAAAUCAAGUUAAAUGUUGAUGGGAGCUCCAAGAAUCAAUUCCAACAUGCUGCAAGUGAAGGAGUUGUGCGUGAUCACAGAGGUAAGCUCAUUUUCGAUUUUCAGAGAAUAUUGGUCCUAAUAACUCUUUGAAAGCCAAGCUUCUUGCUCUUCAAAGAGGAUUAUCUUUAUGUCGAGAGUACAAUUUUUCCAAAUUUUGGAUUGAAAUGGAUGCCAUGAUGGUAGUGAAUAUGAUAUAGGAAAGUAGUUUAGGUUCUUAUGAUACUAGAUAUGAUUUAACUUCUAUUCGAAAUUGUUUGAAAAUUUUACCAAGCUAUAGAUUUCCUCUCCAAUCAAGGAUAUUCACAUGAAGGACAAGAAUGUUGAUGGUGAAUUAAGAGGUAUUUUAAAACUAGAUAAGAUUAAUCUAUCUUAUGUUAAAUUUAAAUAAAUGUAAAAGAGUAGUACUCCUUAUAUAUUUUUUAUCUUUAGCUUUUUGUAAAAGAGUAAUAUUACUUAUCCCAUGCACUCAUAGAGUAUAUGUAAAGAAAGUAGUACCUCGAUUAAGAUUUCUUUAACUUUGGAGAUAAAGUUCAUGUCCUCUUCCCCAAUAUACUUUUUUUUUUCCAUUUUUAAUGAAACUUUUACAAGUAGCUAGCCUUGAGAGAUUUUUCCAACUUAAAAAAAACCAUUUUAGAUAAGUAUUUUAAAACAAUAGUAAAUGUAAAAGAAAAUUAAUCAUUCCAAAAACUCAAGUACAUAAAAAAUUAAUAGUAAGUAACACAUUGCAUUCAUUCAAAUGCACUUAUAUUUCAUCAUUACGGGAUUCCCAACUACGAUAAAAAAAAUUCAACUAUAGUAAAGUUGAAAAUGUGAGCUCAUGAUAAGUAAUAUCAAAAUCUAUCUAACUCUUCAUGAGAUUCCCAUGAAAAAAUAUCAAGAUUCAAAUAAAUCUGGAUAAAAAUAGAUCUCUUUACUUUACGAGUGAAAAAGUUAGUACAACAAAAACAUUGUAUAAUUAAGUGAAUAAAAAUAUUACGGAUGAAUUUUAAACUACUUAAAUAGAAAUAUAUUUUGAGUUGAAAGCACGAGUUUGUGAUAUUUUAACCAUAUUAAAAAAAUAUUUAAAGAAAUAGGAAAUAAUCAUUAAAAAACUCAAGUACAUAGAAAAUGAAUAGUACAUAACACAUUGAGUUCUCAUAAUUGUACCUUAUCUAUGUGUAUUUCAUCAUUGCGAGAUUACCAACUACAAUACCAAAAAAAAAAAUCAACUGUGGCAAAGAUAUAUUGAGACAUGGUAAAAAAAUAAAUAAAUAAAAUCUGAGAUUACGUAUUUAUUUUAACUGGAGAUAGAUACAGGGAUAGAAAUGGUACAGAGUUGGAAAAAGUAGUUAAGGCCCAAAUGGGAAAAGCGUGGGAAUACGGCUUAUUAUGGGUCAGUCCUCAGGCUGUCCCUGCCGCAGACAGGACGCCAUCAUUUAUUUUCUUAAUAUUAUAAAGAAAGACUUCACUACGAGUCAGCCUCUUGUUCUGCUUUCUUUUUUAUCGCACUAUCAGAGCGUGCCUUUGACGCACCACGAAAAUGGUGGGGCGUGGAUGAAAUGUUAAGACGAGGUCGCGUAGAUUAACAUGUUUUCACACACCCUUCCUCUGGGGAAGUUUGUUCUCUCUGGUGGACUAAGCGGAUUGUCGUUUUGUGAAUCCUCCCUCUCCCUCUCCCUCUCCUCCUCCUACAGUACAUUUGCCCUUUUUUCUCCUCUUAAUUUUUGUCAUUAUCUUUUUUAAUCGGAAUAAGAGACUUUCAAUAUACAUUAUAAUUAUAAUUAUUUGUCCUUCACUCUCUACAUUCAUCUUUUCUACUUGUACAGUAGACCAUUUACCAUUCUAGUCAAAAUUCCAUGUCUCAUCCUUUAGAUUUUGACACUGCAUCCACUGGCGUAGUCAAAGUGCUAUAAAUUCUAAGUUUUGUAUAAUUGAACUAUCAUUAAAUCCAGAAUAUUCUACUACGACGUUGUAUAUUCUAUCAAUAAUCAAACACGUUUACCCUUUUUUUCUUUUAUGUAAUUGAAACUAGUGAUCAUUUACCCAAGUCUAAAUUGAUUUUGGCAUCUUCAAGAGACAUGCAUGAAGCAUUGUCGACUCAAAAUUGUCUGACUUUAAUUCAAGGUAGAAUUGCCUCGUCCUGGAACAUGAGUGUGACCCACAAAAGGCAGUAGAAAAUAUGAAAUUACAAUGGAAAAGCUCUAGCUCUCUCUCUCUUUCUUUCUUCCAUUUGUUUUGGUUGCCACUCACCCCCAAGGAUCUAUGGUAAAGCAGAGUGCAUCUUUAUUUUGGUAGGAAUAAGAAGUAGUUUUCAUGGGGUCGGGCUUGGUGUGUGUGCCGUUACAUUUUCUGCCCGCCAACGAAACACACCGAAAGCACCAAAAAAAGAAAAGAAAGAAAAGAUUUUCCAAAACCCAAAAAAUAUAUAUAUAUAUAUACCCAUCACACACAAUACACUAGCGUACAAAUAUUUUAUUGAAAAAACAAAAGGACAAGCGUGAAACCCAUUCUGAUAAAAAUCAGCCUCUCUUCCUUUUUCUUUCUUCCUCUCUGCCCCUUUUUACUCUUUCUCUAUGUCCAUCUAUAGCCAUUAGCCAACUCUACACUUCUUAUUAGCACUUACCCUAGGGAAAAGGCAGAUAGAUAUAGCUGAGAGAUAUGGAACUCUCAACCAGCUUUUCUUUAUGGAUGUUUUCUUUUGUAUAAUGAUCAGCUAGGUGGACCGAAAACCCUCUUCUUCUUACUGGAAGAAGAUGGCUAUACAACAACAUGAACAGCAAUACUCACAACAGCAACAAGAACAGAACCACCCUUCUUUCUUGCUAGAUGCUCUCUACUGUGAAGAAGAGAAAUGGGAAGAGGAAGAGGAUGAAAAUGAUGUAGGUGAAGUUUUACAGCAAGAGAUGAGUUCCAGGAGUUGUAAUAAUGCCAGAAACCCUUCUCUUUUUCCACUUUUGUUGUUGGAGCAGGAUAUGUUUUGGGAAGAUGGUGAGCUUCUUUCACUCUUCUCUAAAGAAAAACAGCAACAGGCGGCUUAUCUCAAUCCCAACAAUGUGGAAACUGAUGAGCCUCUCGCUGUGGCUCGCCGUGAGGCUGUGGAGUGGAUGCUUAAAGUCAAUGCUUACUACGGAUUCACCACUCUCACGGCUGUACUUUCCAUUAACUAUCUCGAUAGGUUCCUAAGUAGAUUUCAUUUUCAAAGAGAUAAGCCCUGGAUGAUCCACCUUGUGGCGGUGACUUGUCUGUCUUUGGCUGCAAAAGUUGAAGAGACACAAGUACCUCUUCUUCUAGACCUACAGGUAUGUGCCUCAGAACAACAAUGUUGAUAUAUAUGCUCAAUUAAAUUGUUUAUCCUUUCUUGAUUUUGAGGGUCAAUAACAUGUAUUAAUGUUCGCUUUCGUUUUAGGUUGAGGAGACAAAAUAUCUUUUUGAGGCCAAAAAUAUUCAAAGAAUGGAGCUUUUGGUUCUCUCCACCCUGAAAUGGAAGAUGCAUCCAGUUACCCCGCUUUCAUUUCUUGAUCACAUCAUAAGGAGGCUUGGAUUGAAGACUCAUCUCCAUUGGGAGUUUCUCAGGAGAUGUGAGCGUCUCCUCCUCUGUGUAAUCUCUGGUAAGCAUUCCAUUAUUGCUCUCCCAAGUUCACUAUGACAUUAACUUUAGAUUUUCUUCGAGAGUAGUUACCAAAGGACAAAAAAAAGAAAAGAACGAAAGAGAUACCCGUUUGUGUUUUUUCUCCUCAUUUGGUAUUAUGUUUUCUUUUGGUUGUUUGUAGAUUCAAGAUCUGUCCAUUAUCUUCCCUCUGUAUUGGCCACUGCAACAAUGAUGCACGUUAUAGGCCAAGUUGAGCCUUUCAAUCCCAUUGACUACCAAAACCAACUUCUCAGUGUUCUUAAAAUAAGCAAGGUUUGUAUUUAAUCAUUAAUAAAGUAGUUAAUUUGGGUAUUCCUCAUUGUUGAUGUCAAAAUUGUGGUUAAAAAAACAUUCCAUAAAUAGCAAAUUAUUUGGACGUUAUUAAAUAUACGAGUAGUAGUACAUCAUCUUUUUAAUUUAGGGUGUGACUAAGGAUUAACUAUUAACUAUAGGUACCUGAUAAGACUAGUUACAAUUUUAUUAGAAAAUGUUUUUUAAGUUAAUGCAUUAUCUCUUCAUAUGCAAGAAUAGACUACAUUAAUUAUACAAUACAUCUUUAAUUUAAUUUAUUGUCCCACUGCUUUGCAACAGGAAAGAGUAAAUGACUGUUGCAAGCUCAUUCUUGAUCUAUCAACAAGACCCCAAAACAAUGCAUAUAGCAGUAAUCCUCAUCCUCACAAGAGGAAGCUGGAGAUGGUUCCGAGCAGCCCCAGCGGUGUGAUUGAUGCUGCGUUUAGCAGCGAUUGCUCAAACGAUUCUUGGGCUGCGGGGUCGUCAGGCUCAGUCUCCUCAUCACCAGAGCCACCCUUUAAGAAGAGCAGAGCCCAAGAACAAGGAAUGCGUUUGCCAUCACUCAACCGAUUCUUCGUAGACAUCGUUGGCAGCCCUUCUUAAUCUUUCUGUGUCCAAAAAAGAUCUAUUAUUUAUUAUGCUUAUGUCCCUUUUUUGGUUCAAGAAAUCAAGUAUUUUUAAGUUCCGAAGAGAAAAAAAAAGAAAAAGAAAAAAAAUCUGCUUUGCCUUCCCAUCUCUACGAUUCCAAGAAUGCCCCGAGUCUUAUUGCAAAGUUAAGGAAGGGGGGGUGGGGUGGGGGGUGGGGGGUGGCACAGAGAGUUGUUGAGACGGGUGGCAAACUAGACAUAGGGAGAAAAAUGGAUUAGGGGAAAGAAAAAAGGGGCGCAUUGAAGAAUGUAUGCAGUCUGCUUCUCUGUGUGUGAAUGUCUUUGGCAUUUGGCACCUCUAUUUUUCAAUCUGCAAGUGUCUUUUCAAAGCAUUACUUUUAUAUAAACAUUUAUAUUUUAAUAUUUUUACUCUAUGACCAUAUAAAAAUAAAUUCAGAGCACAAUUUUGUUUUAUCUGUGAUGAUUUAUUUAUUUAUUUAUUUCUGUCAAACUCUCCUCUCUCUCUCUCUCUCUCAUUAGCUUGAGAGACCCAUGUAGCCACGAAUGACCGGCACAUUCGUUUUAUCUUAUAAUAUUUAAAUGCGCUAGUGUGUUUGGUUAUGGAAGAAAAAACCGGAGAAGAAGGUUUUGUUUGUUUGUAUGCAUGCAUGUGAAGGGAGAGAGAGGGUGUCGGCCAGUGGGGUUUUGGGGUUUGGUUUUUAGGGAGAGAGACUUUUGCAUUGGGAGGUUUGACCUCGUUGCAAGUGCUAGAGGUGACCAUCACCCCUCCCUCUCUCUCUCUCUCUCUCUCUCAAAUCUCAAAAACCUAAUCCUGGCCUUUGGCCCAGCAAGAAAACAACGCACCCUCUCUUGCUCUUGGAUUUUCCACACUUUUCUCUUGUCCAUUAGCCUAGUCAAGAAGCAAUGCAAAUAAAUGUAAGAUCGUGUCCCCAGUUCCCCUCUCCACGCGCCUUACUUGGAGCGUGAGUGGGGCUGCUCAAGAAACUUGAGUGGGAUUGCGUAGGGUUGGAAUGAAUAAGAAAUGCAAGCGCACGCGCUUAUGUAAGAAAAUGUAAAUAGCAAAGUAGUAAAGGACAGGCAAAAGAAUGCUCACAAAAUGCUUUUACCAAUCCGAGUCUAUACUUAAAAAACAAAAUGGGAUGUUUCCUCCUUAACUUUAUUUGAUGGAAUCUGCCCUUUUUGUAUCCUUACUUAAUCAGAUUAGACUAACUCCCAUUUAACCCACCAUUAUCCUUUCCACCCUUAAAACCAAAAGGUACUACUACUUCCCCCUAUUGGUAUUUCCCCUUACCAUAAAGUUCUCAAUAUUCUUCUUCUUCUUCUUCUUCCCCACCCCACCCCCUUUCCUUUUUGCUAAUUUGAGCACAAUGAAUCUGAGCGCAUUUUAGUGGGGAUUCUCCAAUUCAGCAUGCCUCAAAUCUUUAUACUCCUUGCAAUUCUUUUUCCUUUAUAUAUUUAUUUUUGUUUAAAAAAGAAAAAAUGUAUAUAGUAUCUAAUUUCUUUUACUUUUUCCACGUGUUGGAAGGUAAUAUUUAAGGCUUCUUUUCAAGCCGUUUUGAGUCUCUAUAAAAAUAGAGCAUGCUUAUGCACUUUUUGAUUGGAAAAAUAGUUGCUCCUUCUCUCUCUGUCUCUCUGUGUUGAUCAAUCCAGCCACUUCUUUUUUCUUAAAUUAUCUGAAAAUGGAAUGCUUACUUCGAUUAACAUAUGUGAAUAUAUAUCCUCUAUAAAGCACCAUGUGGGAUGGUGUCGGCAUUAAAUGCAUAAUAAUAAUCUUAACACCAUUGUAAAAACGUUAAAAGAUGAUUUUGAGUACGAAGAGUAAUUCUAGUAUUUGCUCAAAUUAGUCAUUUGUCUCAUUCCAUAUGAUAAAAACGUAAAUUGGUAAUGGUUUAUCGGUUUAGCUAUUAACAUUGAAAUUUCAAUCCUAUAUAAAAUCAUAAUAUUGUGAUUGAAACCAUCUUACAAGGAACGGCAAUCUAACUAAAAAAGGGAGAAAAAUCUUGGUCAUGAUAAUAAAGAUUUGAAAAGAAAAUGAUCGAACAAAGAAGAGAGUUAUGGAAAACUAAGUUGAGGGUGUAGGUUCGGAGGCACCCACUGACUCGACCCAUAUAAAAAGGUAAAAGAGAUAAAAGGGGAAUUUUGAAUUUGGGGGACAAAAUCUUUGAUAUUGUGAGAGAUUGUCUUUGGGGUCCUUUUUUCUUGUUCUCUACUUUAAGGUUGGUAGAGCGUAGAUUGUAGUAGAUGCGUGCAAGUGCUCAUGAUUCAUGAGAGAGAGAGAGAGAGAGAGAGGAAUGUGUUGUUUUUUCAAAGGGAAACAGCUUGCUCCCAAGAACCAAAAGAUCAUGAGGUCAGUGUGUCCCCACACCAAUAAUUGUAGAAUAAUAUGAUCAUGGCUGGGGGGAGCUUUUAGGCUUUAGCUCGCUCAUCUUAAACAAACUUUUGACCUGGUCUCUCUCUCCCUCUCUCUCUCACUUUUCCUUCUUAUUGCUUCAUUAAUUUAGGCCUACACUUAGUAGUAUUAAAUAACUUGGACUAAAUUUUGGCCCAAAACCCUCCUCAUGUAGUUUCCAAUUUCUUUUUGGGUUUUUGCCCUUCUACCAUAUUUACUUUUUCUUGCUUACAGCUGUAAAGUUUAAAGGACAACAAAAGAGAUGACCAUAGAGGCUUGUGGGUCCUUGUCCCAGCCAUGGGUUGUUUCCUUUCUUUUCUUCUUUCCUUUGCGUUUUUUGGGACAGAAAAUGGAAAUAACAUGGCAAGAUGUGGAAGCAGCAGUAAAAAAUAAAAAUAGAUGGGGUUACUUUUAUAUAGCUUCUUCCAUCUAUAGCACUUGGCAAUCUAUGGUCCUUUUGACUGAAACCACUACCAAAAUGUUAUGAUCCCAACCUUCCAAUAAUGUUUUCAACAAACAUGAAAUUCAACGUGAGUCAUGGGAAUCAACCUUUCUUGACUGACUUAUUUGUUUGCUUUCUGUAAGACUUGUAACUCUCACCUAUGACUUUAAACCUGGUAAAUUUUUGUUCAGAUUUAGCAUGUAGGGUGCAAAAGUUAAUUACAGUCUCAUGUUGUUAGUUUUGAAGAGACUAUUAUGGAAGAUCAAAAUGAGUUUUCUUCUUUAUCAAGAAAGUUGAAUAAUCCUUGCUCUUGCUUAAUGUCAAGUUCUGCUGCAAAGUAACAUGCAGAGAAGAAAUAUAUGUUUUUUCUGCCAGGGAAUGGCAAACUCUGACCUUAAUCUAAAAGUCUACCAAGUAGUGAACAAACAUGUAGAUUAUGUCUCCAACACUUAAAAUAUAUAUAUAUAUAUAUAUAUAUAUAUAUAUAUAUAUAAAGGGAUAAGAGUUUUAAAAUACAUGGCCCUGGGGAGAUAUUGGCAAGGUAUACUGAUCGGGAAGUGAGUAUACCAACCAAUAUUUGGUGUUUUUGCUGAUACGGUUGUCUUUUGUAUUUGGGCUGAGGGAAACCAAUUUCUUCCCUUCGCAUUCCAAUGAAAUCCCAGUUUAACUUUCAAAAAAAAAAAAUACAUGGCCCUGGGGACCAGAGGGGAGUCCUCAAGAGCAAAAAUGCAGCUUAGCACUGUUGCCAUGGCCCUCAAAAGAAAAUCAGAAAUGGAGGCCCCAAACUACUGUCGACUUGCCUUGCGUUGCACAUCUAUUACGUGAACCAAAUAAUUGUGCCAAGUCCUUCUGGUUUCAUCCCUUCUGUUAAAUAGUUAAUGUGGACGCUACACCCAAUCGGCAUCCAAUGUUAUGGCCAGUGGUCACUAUCUCCAUGAAAUGCCAAAAUCGUAAACCAGGUCGCCCCGAAGGCCAUGUAACCCUAUCUUCAAUUUGUACAAAGUUUGCUUCAUUAUUGCGGGGGACAUCUAAUAUUACCCUUUUUUUUUUUUACAGUUGGGAAAUUAGAAUCAUUAAUCCAAGUCCUCGCUAAGAGAAGGGUAAAUUAUCUAAUGGAUGUUUCAAUCAUUAGAGGUAAUGAAUAAGAAUGCAUGAGGGAUAACCUGACAUAUUUUGUACUUCACAAAAUUUUUACUGAUAUCUUUAUAAUGUUGAGAAGUGGGGAUUUUACUGCCACGAAUUGUAAUUUGACCUCAAAGCAGAUAAAGUUUGGGGCUACGUUUUUUCACCUUUUUAAACCUGAUUGAUUACAUCUCUUCUUAAUACAGUCCAAGAACACUCUGCGCAAUAGGACAUGGCAUCACUCAUAAAAGCUGAGCAACAGCUCAUCGGUGAGCUUGACUUGUCUGAUUAGUAAACAAGCCUAGCUAACAUACUAAAUGAACUGACGCAACUUGUUUCAAUGACCACUCUGUUGGUUACCCAGCUUAGGACAGCCAUGUCGUGAGAAUAAUGCAAACUCCAUUAAACCUUGAACAAAAAGAUCUCUAAGAGGGGACCUUAUUCAAUGAAACCUUCAAUGAGGUCGAAAAGGUAUUAUACACAUACAAAAGAAAAUUCAUAUUUAGAAAGCUAUAUAUCAAUGGAGAACUGAGAAGCAGAGGCCAGGCACUUUAGAAAAACAAAAAACAGAAAAGAAAAAUGAAGAGGUGGAGACAAGCAGCAUUCAAUGUAGAAAUAAUGGUAAUGGUUUAUGGAUGGGUGGUCCUUGGAUGGCAAACACAAAGAGGUGAUGCUUCUCUUAUUUACACUCUUUUCCCUUCUUCUUAAAAGAGGUAAAAUUUAUUGCUAUGCCAUGUAGAGUUGCCUUUUGGGCCUCAAGAGUCCCUUUACAUGGUCAGAGAAAAGGACAACUGGAGUUUUUGAUGUCUUCCAGGGUCAGCCACGUACCAAAAACUUUGAAACUUGGCUGUUCCCCAGCAAGCAUGUUUGCUUCUCAGACAAAGAUUCGAGUAUCUUUUGGCAGGCUAAGGGUGACCCAACCCCAAUCAGUUAAAUUUUCAAAGAGGGCUACAACAUUUUAAAUAGGGUCUUGUACUAUAUGGUUCUUAAGUGAGCGCCAAAAGCCAUCUUUUGCUGUAAAACAUGUUCAUCACAUUUAGACCCACUCCCUCUCUUUUUUGGUUGAUAUGCUUUUGGGUGAACCACGAACAUGGAUUUCAAUGACAGUAAGGAAGACAAAGAUUCAGACCAAUUACCAACAAGAACUUAAGCAAAAGGACAAACAAAGCACCAAGCAAAUUGGAGUAGUAAAAACGUUCAAGUAAAUGACAUGAAUCCUAUUGCCCAACCAGUCUAUUUAAAGCUUUCAAGCAAUUAGUCUCCAACAAGAUAAUUUUUUUGAACAGUCAAAAGAUUAUGAAAACUUGUCAUGGAAAAACAAGCAUUUCAAAGAACUUCCACCCCAAGACCCAGUACUCACUAGUCAUCCAUUAGGUGACAAUCAAGCAAAAAAUUAAUUAGGUCCUUUUUCAUUAACAAUUCUGGAUUAUAGGGAGGCCAGCAACUUAGCUGUGUCUCUGUUGGUUAUGGAUGGUAACAACUGCAGUAACAGGUGUUCAAUGAACUCUCUUGGCUCAUGGUAAGAAGUGUAGAAACCUCUAAUUUCCGUAAGGUUAAAUAUACAGGACAUUUUCACUCAUGCUUAUGUCCUUUGCUGUCCUUGCUGCAAUAAAUUUGCGGUAACAUCAUGUUUGUCACUCUCACAAUCUAUUAGUAGUUCAUUGCCACAAUACUCAAAUUAGUUAGAAUGUCAAAAUCCCAACUGACCACAACCCUACAAAAUCGAUUUUUAAAAUGUCCAACAAGGUUACAAAAGCUCACAGACAGAAUUUGAUCCCCCCCAAUAUCUCCAGAAGAAGGCACAAUAAGGAAGCAGCUCGAACACAACAUGACACAGAAUUACCGCCAACUGAUGAAAAAAGCAUCCAAAGAGUUAGCCAUGGAGUUGGGAGACGAUGGAGACAUCACAUUUCUCGUUGUUUUGUUCGAUAUAAAACUAGCUACAUAUAUGUUUGACAGUGAGAUGGUGGAUUGGUGGGUUUAUUUCUGGACACCAUUAUUUUUACCAUCAGAGGCAGCUCUGGCUUUGGCCAUGCCAUAUUUGCAGAAUGGGAAGAACUGGACCACAUUUGUUUUACCAAAUAGAAGUAGAACCCGUGACUGUCUUUACACUUUCAUGGUAAAGUAGACUACACGCAUGAACCGUGCUGCAUAAAGAAUUAAUCACAGAAACGUAGUACAUUUGAAUGGCAAAGAAAGUAAUGAAAAUUACUGUUUUUGGCUGAGAAAGGCCAUGCAAUCUUUUGAGUUGUAAAAAUCUCUUGGGUUUGACUCUGCAUUGAGCCACUGCUUUUCUCUUCUAUCCAGAAAAAAUAAAAUACCCAGUCCCAGUGUCAUCUUGCGAGUUGAUAAGUGGAGGAAUAAUGAUGUACUAAUGAGCAGAUGAUGUCGAAAAUUGAAAUUCGAGUGAUUGAAGCAUGGCAUUGCUUUGUGAUAGGUAUCGUCUCUAUUGGUGAUGUACUUGAUGGAAAGAACAUCAGAGGAAACAGCUUUCUCCCCCUGAUAUAUCACAGGUCUUUUCUCAUUUCCGCCAAACCAUUUAAACCAUGCCCGUCGUUUGUCGUGAUUAAAUGAUUUUACAAGCUUGCAGGAAUUCUAAUCUAAUCAUAUAAAAAUCCACUGGUCUGGAUUCGUUUGCCUGUACUUGACAGAUUGCAUAUACUAAUAAUAUAUCAACUGUUCAGCGCAUAUCACAAUUUACUCCUUGUACGACGAAAAACAAAAGCAACAUGAAUGAUUGUAUUCCCCAAUUUUGGGCUCUGAUCUGCCAAAGUUGGGAUCUCAAUCCAAUUUUAAACGGACCAGUCGACAGAAAAUCAUUCAAACUCCAACCACACCUCGAUUUAUGUUUUAUACAAUCAAGGCCCAUCAUCGCAUGAUACUGGGGCUUGGCCUCGUUGGUUUACGGGGCGGAUAUAGAACCCCAGCUCCUGCAAAAACCAGGGUUCCUUGAUAUUAAAUGGAAAAUUUUGCCCAGAAAAAGGAAAAAAUGGCCAUCAUUGCCAACGGAAAAACUCCACAACACCCAAGACAGACAUCCAGGGGUGCAAUCAUUAGCAAUAGCUUAUAGAACAACAGCUGAGUAAGUACUUCUGUGUCCAUUGCGAAUCGCUGAGUCAAAAGAAAAAGGUGCAUUAGACCAGGUUAAAAGUUCAAUGCAACAUUUGGUCCCGACUCGCAGUUUUUUGUGCCAAGAUGUCAACAGAUAGCGUCUAAUACAAUUCACUCUAGACAACUCUCCCACCAACUUAAAAAUAAUCAAACAGGCGGUAAUGGCAAAAUUCUGGAUGAUCUGGAAAAGGUGCAGAGGUGAACAAUUGCACCUAUCAAUAUCUCAUGUUAAACCUGCUGGAAAUAAGCUGUUGCCAACCUUGAACAUAAACAUUGGAUCAAUCAGAAUCUAUACUGUGAUGAAAGAUCAAUAAGUUUUAACAGAUAUGUUAAGCACUGAUAACAUAAUCCAUAUUGCCUAUAAUGAAAAGCAGCUUACAUAUGACUUAACUACACUUACUUGCUUGUCAAAAUUUACAUAAAAUCAGAGCGGACAAGUUAAAGCCCACUACAGAUUGAAGCAAAGAUGCUUAACAAGGAUGAAUUUCAAUCACAUGAAAGUAGUGUAGUAAUCAUUUUUCAGCUUGGUUGACAAUUUGACAGGUACCAAAAGUGAAACUUUAUCCUGACAUAAAACUUUUAACUGCCACUUGAGGUGAAAAGUAAAAUGCUACCAUACAGAUAAAACAAAGCAGAAACACAAAUAAAACGGCUGGUAGUUUGAGCAAAGUAAUAGUACAAGCUAAAUCAUUUGUCAGUCCGUGCUUCACAAGCUGCUUAAGUUUAAAAUGGAUAGCAUAUCUGCUGACAAGUUUCACAAAGAAAACAAGUAGUCAAUUGUACCCAAAGAUAUUUAAGAAUUCUAAAAAAAGAGGAAGUUAGUAAGAUGUAAACAUGUCUUCUCCAAAAACAUAAAAAUGUCAAUGAGCAGCUUUUUUACAAGUGGAUCAUCCUCCUCGCAUAUGAGCACCAAGUUCACCAAAUUGAUCAUCAGCUUCCACAGUAUCCUCAGACAGGCGAACUGCAUCCAGCUUCUGUUUGAGGACUUCUAUAGCAUUAAGUACCAACUGAGAAGCUUUGAUCGCACCGGUGGAUUCAACAGUAAAAAUGAAACUGUCUUCUUUUGCAUAAAUCUCCACAAGGCCUGGCUUUCCCAUAGCUUCAGCUUUCUUUAGCACUUCAUCAUCGUAGGUAUAUGCCUCUGGAUCAACCACCACAACCUGCUUUCCAAAUAAAAUAAAAAUCAUGGUUAAAAAUAAUAGUAGUAACAACAGCAGCAGCAGGAAAAAAGAAUAAUCUCGAAAGGAUGGCUUGUGAGUUGUGACAUAUGGAUUGAAACAACAAAUUCAAAAGCAUUCGAAGCUGAAGCAAGUGAGCAUAGCCAUCAACAAAAUAAGCAUCUAAUCUGCCAAUCUAUUUCAUAAAUGCUUCAACUCUAUAACUGGCAUAAUAGUUACUAACUACAAUAUUGUAUUAACCAAGAAUUCUAAAACAACAACAACAAAAUAUGAUGUUCAACACAGUAACAGUAGGAGUAGGCCCAUUUAACCGAAAGGCUAACACAAUGUAGUUUGACAGCUCACUUCUUCAGCCAAUUAGCCUAUCAGAUAAAACAGAGUAGUAACAGCCCUAGUAGAAAGAGAUAAACCUCAACCCAGAAACGUAAAGUAAAUCUCAACUUCCACCAAUAUCCUCAUGAUGCAUAAAAGUCAAGGCACAACGCUCGGAACUAUUUUAAGAUAGAUAUCAGGCUACCAAAACACACAAACAUUUGCCAGCUAAGGCAAACAAGGACCUUCUAAAGGACCUUGAUUGCGUCGACGGUAAUUUUAUUAUACUAUUGGAAUGAUGAAAUUAAGUAAAACCAACAAUUUCUAUAACAAUCUAGACCUAGUUUGAUAGCCAUACAAACCAAAACUUAAUCUCAACCAAUUUCUUUACUAGAAUUAAUGUAAGACGAAGAAAGAAAAGGCGAACCUGUUGGGUAUUAGGAUCAAUAUCAAAGACUCUAGUAGGACUACUCUCAACAAAGCUUUGCUUCUCCUCAAGCGUCAAGGUUUCCAUCAUAUCUUCAUUGAUAUGAAUCUCAGGUUCAUACAUGAAAGUCACAGUCGCAGCCGGUGACCAUUUCGCAUGGUCUUUCCCUAUACCUUUCCUCGCAAUUGCCCUCAGCCUCAAUUCUUGCCCUCGCCGUAACUUCACAAUGAUAAUCCCCCUGCAACCAAACAAAAAUUUUAAUUUUCUAUAAGUCUCUAACCAAAAGAAAAAACCUAAUGUAAUUGUCAUUUCGAAUAAUUCACAAAUUUAUCCCUAAAAAACCCUAAACACCUUUGCUCAGAGGAAUCGUAGCCAGCGGAAUCGGUGAAAUCGACGGGAACAACCGUAUGAUCGGAACUAUAGAGAUCCUUGCUGGUAACAUCGAGGGUUUGAUCGGUCAUGCAUUUGGCACGAAGAUGGAACUCGACGGAGCAGAACUCGCACUGGCCGUCACCGUCGCAUGCGUCACAGUCACGCGAGAAUCGCAUCGACAUGGCGCGUUCGCUGGUGAGAGGGAUGAGGCCGAGGCGGUGGGCAAUGAACUCGUCGUUAAGGACGGAGGAGUUGACUUCAAUUUCGACGAGGUCGAUUGCGAUGGUGGGGACCUCGGCAAUCAUGACGCGACGGAGGGCGUUGGCCAUGGAGGCGUCGGUGUCGCGAAGCUCGAAUUUUGCAUAGUCGUCUUUCAGUUCGCGGAUUUUGACCUUGGGGAAUCGCUGGUAGGAGACUCCCUCCAUUUCUGAAAUUUGAUUGAAUGGUUUUUGGCUCUGGAGCUAAAAAGCCUAAAAUAGAACCUGUAAGCGAAGAGGAACAGAAGAGUUGAUAAACCCAAAAUGGGGUUUUGGUCGAUUGUCGUGUCGGCUUGUUACACUCACUUGAGUACCAAGUGACGUCGUUUCUUCCUUGGUUCACACGCUACUUGCUAAAUCCUCCUACUGUUAAUAGUAGUUAACUUGUUAUGAUUUAAAUGUGUUUCCCAAUAAUUUUAGUUUUGGCUUCAUGCCAAAUUGGACAGUACUACUAGCAUGACAUCUACAUAUACUAUAAAUAAAUAGACAUGUAUAUCAGCAGAGAAUUGAUCCUCUGUUUCUUUAUUAAAAUCCAAUGUCAAUUAGUGAACAAUAGUUGUACAAAACGAAAUACUUAGCAGUAAGAAAUGUAGUAGUAAUAUGGUAUAUAUUGGGGUUGUGUUUUUCCUGUUCCCCGGUAGUUUAUGUUCCCGUUCUUAUUAUUAUCAUCAUUCAAUUCAAAUUAUCAUACUAAUAAAGAAAAGCCAAAAGCCGAUCUCUUGCAAACAACACAGUCUGGGGCAAACAGGCUUGAAGUCUGAAAAUCUCUGUCCCCUCCCAUUACUGGCAUUUUUGCGCCAAUGUUUAGGUGGCUUACGUAGCCAAGCUUAUAAGUUUGUCCCAACACGCCGUUCGCAUCAUCACUCAAAGAGUAGAACUUGAAUCCAAGAUCAAGAUGAGCAAAACAGUCAUCUUGUUUUAUGCCAUAGUUGUGAAUCCUGGAAUCUUCCUCAGUGAUGGGCACCACCUUGGCUGUGAUCUUGAAGUUCCCUUCAACUUCAACUAUAACGUUAUUGGUGUCACUAGCUCUGGUGAUGGAGACGUUGGGCACAUUUGCAGAUUGCCACUUGUCGCCUUCGGAUUCAGGGAGAGUAACAGGUUCUCCAUCAAAAGUGAGGCUGAGGUCGUCAAUGGAGUCAUCCCAUGUAGAGGUUUUCAGGGCACCAAGGAAGAGAUAGUGUUUGUCGAAGAGGAUUGCAAUGGACUGCACCCAAGUGAAGUCCCUCUUCAUGUUUUGGUUUCUCCUGCCAAUGAAGUGGGCAUUGAUGUGUAGGUUGGAGUCGGAAACAAGGCAAAAGUCUUGGUCCGUCUUGCCAUGGAAGUAGAAGGUGAUGCCGUCGCCACCUAUGAAUCAAGGGUCCUGGCACACUGCUGCUGGCCUAUCACACUCUGCCGUAAAGCAAACAUAGGAGUUAGAAGAAUCGUCGAGUUAUAUAUAUAUGAUGACGCAUAAAAAAAAUUUCUAUAAAUUUGUUCAAAAUAUUUUCAGGGUUUUAAACGAACACUGACACCCAAGCAAUGUCCUAAAGAGCAUUUCAUUUAUGUCUACAAAUAAUUUAAGCUUUGCAAUAAUGAGGUGCAUUUGAGACUUACUGCAAACAGGUUUGCAAGUGACGCAAUCAACCUCACAUCCACCGGGGCAAGAGCUGGGCGUAUAUGCUUCAUGUUAUAACAUUGAGGGUAGUUUUCGUUCUUGCAUUUGACGGUCUUAGGUGAGGUAUAUGGAGGAGGAUUCUGUGACUGAGUGGGAGAUGGUGGGGAUGCAGGAGGAUUCUGUGAUUCUGUUGGAGGAGAUGGAGGAGUGUAAGUAGUUGGUGGAGUUGGAGUGGGAGGAGAUGGUGGUGAUGGAGGAGGAUUCUGUGAUUCUGUUGGAGGAGACGGUGGAGAUGUUGAUGGAGGAGUGUAAGUAGUUGAUGGAACUGGAGUGGGAGGAGAUGGUGAGGAUGGAGGAGGAUUCUGUGAUUCUGUUGGAGGAGUAUAAGUAGUUGGUGGAGUUGGAGGAGAUGGUAAAGGUAUCGAUGGAGGAGUGUAAGUAGUCGGUGGUGUUGUAGGAGUGGAAGUGUUGUCAUCACCGUCUGGGGGAGAAGCAGGGACUGAUGGAGGACUUGAGGCUCCGACACACAUUCAACUGUGCAUUCACCACUGGGGCAAAACUUUGGGCAAACAUGCUCUAAGCUAUAGCAGUACUUGUAUUUCUUGAUCUUGCAUCUUGCAUGGCUCAGGUGGUUGGCAAUACCAGGUGGAGUUGCCCCUGCCAUACUAAGUAAAACCAAGAGGAGAAUGGGCAGAAGGUGCAUUUUCGGUUAAGCCAUUGAAGCCAUCAAGCUGAACCAGACUUGAAUUUAUGAUUCCUGAAUGGUUGGAACUUGAAUGGCUUGCUAUGUUUUGUGAGAUUGACAUUGCCAAUCACCCCUUUUAUAGACGUCCAGUUGGAGAAUUAAUGAACACCAAAGUGCCUAAUAUUUCGGAUCAAUGCUUUUGGUUAAGUGAACCUCUCUCAUGCCAAUUCAGCAAGUCAAUCAAAAAGGGAAAAAAGAAAAAGAAAUGGGCGAGUCAGGCCAAUCAUGUUAGUGUUGCUUCUAUUUGCUUUGGAUAUAAACAUGGCAUCACUUAACAGUGAAGGGGGAGAGGGCACUUACAGCAAAAGCUGCUUUCCUUCACCUAUACAUGUUUUUUUGUUGCUAUAUAUGAGGCUCUUCUUUACUUAUUCUGGAGAAAUAGACAGCCAAAGGUGCUGAAUAAGACAAGAAAACUCAAUAAUUUAAAAUAAUCUCAAAGCUUACAGCAUAAGAAACAGAACAUAAGAUAGAUGUUGCUUGUGAGGAAGAUUUGCAAGGGGCACUUUCCUUGUUACUGUGUGGUCAUCUCUGUUUCAACAUAAUAAGCGGUGGGCUAACUUUUAAACCAUGCAUUCUUGUAGCUCCCGCUGUUGUCCUAACCUUUGGUUUCCUUAGCAAUUGCCCUAUUUCUUGGAUUUGAUUAUCAGCCAAUUCAAAAAAAUAGAAAAAAAAAAGUCUUUCAACUCUUCCUUAGUCUGGUCCAAACAUUACUAAGUUGUUUGGCUACCUUUCUGGUUUACUUUUGCAUUUAAACUUAGAAGUUUCUCUCUCAUUUUCUGGGUUCACUUAUUUUAGUGGUGAAUUGCCAUAAUUAUUAUGCAUUCUAUACCUGUGGUUAGGCAAAUUUCUGUGUCAUCCAUUGCUUUAAAAUAUGAGACUUCUCUGUUUUACGUCAGUAUUUUAUUUAGUUGAAAUCAGAAAUCAUUCCCUUUGGAUGCAAGUGUGAUAACGAAGAAGCACAAGGCUUAUCCUGUCUCAUUACAUUUUAACAACAAUCUGAAGAGAAUUUGUAUUGAAUGUCAAAGAGGAUACAAAGUAUAGAUUCCUCGAUAUUCAGAAUGAACAAUGAGCUCAGGAAGUUUUUAUUCUACAACCACUCCCACCCCCCAAAGGCGUUUAUUUGACACUAUCAACCAACCUGUCAAGAGUAGCCUUUCCUACUCUCCUGCAGCAAAAGGUUUGCAUGAGUAAUGUCUCAAACUUAUAAAAGCAAAUUUAUAAGAGCAUUUCUGUUUAUUUCUAUAAAACAGGCAAUCCUCUAGAAAAAAGGAAGAGUUUGACCAAUAUAGAACUCACCUCCUAAAGGUUUUGUUAUUUGUUAUCACUAGUAAUAAUUCAGAGGUACAUAUACAAGUCCUAACUAAAGCGAUAAUUGGUUUCAAAGCGAAAGAACUUACUUGAAGAAAUGUUGUUAUGCAGUGAGAAUGCAUCUUGUUGGGCAUCCAUCUGCACCGACCAUCCUCAGAGGUAGGCAAUGGACAGUAUACUUCCCUGGCUGGAUGCCAUCGAGGUUCAGACCUUCAACAAGAACAAUUUCCUGAAGAAUUUGAGCAGUUUCAGAAAUGCAUUUCAACCCUUCUCUAUAAACCAGAGUAAAGAAAGCCAUAACAGAUGGGUUGGGGCAGAAAAAUAUUUAAAAAAAAAAAUUAAAAUUAACAGGCUCUCAGAUUCACAAGAGAAAUCUCAUUAUUCUUACCCUUUUCUUUAGAAAUAUAUGAUGAGUUGGGGCAGCAUCAACAUAAGCAGAAACAGAUAGGUAAUCAAGUCCUACAAUUCAUACAGACAGAUGAAUUAGUACAACUAAAAGUUCUGCCAAAAAUCGAAGCACAGAAAUGGCCUUAUUUUCUAUAGAAAAUGAUUGCGUUAUACUGCUUUGAUUGCCUGAUUUUGGUAAUUACCAAUUUGUGCUAUUGAAUCCGAUCAAGUUUUACUUUCAAACAAAAAGUGUUAACAGAGUGGUAGGAAGGAAAUUUAUCAUCGAUUGCUUUCUUCCCUCAGUUACUAACACAUUCUGUUGAAGUGACUCGCAGGGGUGGAGGGUGGUACUGUUUUGGGAGGCACGGCCCUCCUAAAUAUUUUUGAAAAAUUUUAAUUAUUAUAUAUAUAUAUAUAUAUAUAUUUAAUACAUUUGGAGAGUAGUAUAGUUAUGGAGGUUGUGAUCCCUCAAAAAUUUUGAAAUAUUUUAUUUAUUAUAUAUUUUAAUACUUUUCAAAAUAAUUUUUUAUUUAAUAAUUAAUAUAAAUAAUAAAUAAUAAAAUGACCUUACAAACUUUAGUCAACACUAUUCCAAUUUAAAUUUAUUCACACCUCUUUCUCCCUCUCUUUCUUUUCUGUUUUUGUUUUUUUAUUUUACUUCACACUCUCUUAUGUAAUUAAUUACUGAAACAAAUUUUAUUCUUUAAAAGAGAAAUUUAUGAUCUUGUGAAUUUUUUUUUCUUCUUUCUAUUUAUAUUAUUUAACUAUUAUAUAAAAUUCUAUAUAUCGUACUUAACUAUUUAUAUUUUAUACAUUAUAUUUUACGAAUCUAAAAAACAUUGUCGAGUAUAACUUUUUUGUAAAUUUUUCUUUCUAAUUUUUUUUUUAUUUUUAUGUUAUAUAAAAUUAUUUUUUAUUAUGAAUCUUUUGAUUGUUGUUUAAAUGUAAUGUAUUAAUUUUAAAAAAUUUUAACUUUUAUUUUUUUUCAUUUUUGAUUUUCAAUAAAAAUUGACUAAUUCUGCCUAUAGUGACUCAUAAACUGAAAUAAUGAUCACACUGACAUUUAUCAAGCCAGAACUGAAGAGCAGAAACUGUGGCACAGAUGCACAAAGCCCUGUUGUCAAUUAAGGACAGGGAUGCUCUACCAAACAACUGUUUUUGAAAUUAGUCCUGUGUGUUAACAAGGAAAGUCUAAAAUCUUACCCACAAGUUUGAUGUCUGUGUUAUCAACCAACCACUGUGCCCCAUCCUUCCUAAAUCCUGUGAAGUUUGAAGCAAACUCCUUUUUGUGCAUCAGCCCCCUGAACAUGAAAGUUGACAUACAUUUUACUAUCAUGAAAUCAUUUGUAAGUUUCAGCAAAUCAAUUCUGGUUCAACAAAAUCUUGAGUUUGAGAGAGAGGCUCUUUUUGUUUUAAUGGAAAGAAAAUACAUUUCAUUAAACUUUAAACAGCCCCUGAAACAGAAAUUGCAAUAUUGAAAUUAAAAGGGGUCACUUCUUAACUCACAUGUGAACCCAUUUACAACAACCUACUUUUUUUUUUCUUUUUUGAAAAUUUAUGAGUGGAAUUCCUAGACAAAAAGAGAUAUUGAGACAACAGGAAAAACCUUUGUAAUAACAAGAGUAGAGGCAUAGAGCACAUCUUUCAGCAUGGAUUAUCUUCUUAUACCUUCAUGUGGGUAAUUGAUUUAACACAUCGAAGUAUUUCAUUUCUAUGUUUAUAGUGAUUGCCCCAGUAGGUUUUAAGAUAUUAAGGAUUUGGAUAAUUCAGUCAAAAUAUGCUCAAAAACUACCAGCUCAGUUUAGGAUGUUGAUUGCAACAGCACCAAAAACACUACACUUGACUGACAUGAUAUUCACAAGCCAAUGGGGAAAAAAAUGAAAUUCAUUGACUAGUUGCCCAGGUCUUUUUCUUCUUAUUCUUCUUCUUGAAGCCUAAACGACUCUGUCCCGUUAACUCUUUUACUAUUAGUCUAUGAAUUGUACCUUAAACAUGUUUCUUGCUAGAAUUAACUGUCAUAAGUGCUAGUCUUGUAACAUCAUAUAAACAGGCUUCUGUGAAAGUUCAAAAAUGGAAGAACUGCAAACAUGUCAAUAAUGUGAUGCCAAUUCUGGGGGACAAAGCACGAGUUAAAGAACAUAUCAAGCAGAGUGUCAAAAUCACUUAUUUACAUAUUGACAUGCUUCAAAAACAUUAUGAAAAAGGAGCCCACCGUACUAUAUUCAUUUUGUUCAUAUGUUAAUAAAGACAAGUAAAUAGAUCUAAUUACAUUAAUGUUUACCUGUCAGUGUUAAGUGUUCUGAAAAGCACACGAUGUACUCCCCUGGGAAUAUUCAAGGACUUCAUAACUUCAGCUGUAGAAAGCAUACUUUAGUUACUACAGCUAAACGCACUUAAAAUUAAGAAGGAUUAAAUAUGAUAAACAAAAUUUCCCAACUUCCCAUCGUAAAAAAGGGGGAAAGCAGAGUUAAUCUACUUUAUGAUGGAGAAGAUUUUUUUUUUUUGGAAAGUUAAGAGUUCAUUCAUAAAGAAAGGAUGUCCAUGUACAUACAGAGGAGGGUCAAAGGCUGGAAAGAGCACAGUCUUAGCCCUCUGAUCCCAUACUGGUAGACAAAAACACCAAUAACCAACCCUGCCCUUCAAACCAUUCACCUAAGCAUUUACAUAUAGCCCUUAGCCAACACUUCCCACCAGCAUAAAAGAUUACAAACCAUAGAAAAAGUCAGUAAGGCAGGGAAACAUAACCAGCGUGCCUGUUUCCUUCUCUUGCUGCACCAAGCAAAAAAUUCUAGAACAACAAAAUUCAAACUCCCAGAUUUACAAAGACCAAAAACCCCUUGUUCCCCACCCAAUCAAAAGUGAAUCCUAGGCACCGAAGACCACCACCGGUAAGGCAGACUCCAGGACCACAUUAAACCCCUGUACACACAGAUCAAGAAUCUUAAAACAUAAAAGAGCCAUCUACCCAGUGAGAAAGUGAAGCAAAGCAGACAAAGCUCUAUUUUAUGAUGGAGAAGAUCUAUUUUAUGAUGUUCUGCAACAAAACUCUAGGCGGGGCUCGGAGAUAUCCAUGAUUAUGAUAUCAGACCAGUUUUUUUGCGAGACCAGUUAUUACUACUUUAUACUGAAAUUAGUAGAAUUGACAGGUAUUGCUGCAUAUGAAUCCCAGAAAAAUGAAUGAUUCUAGAGUGAGCUGAAGUGACAUUUAGAUCCAAAAGUUUAAAGAAACUAGAAAAUGAAGUAAACAGAUUUCCGAUUAUAAAAGGGGAAACUACACUAGGAACACUUACCAGUAAUGUUCUUUUCUCUUGGAACAUCAACUACUAGAGCAGGACCUAUACAAAGAAUAAAACACGUAUGAUCAUCAACAAUAUCCACGAAAAGAAUGCAGAAACUGAUUAACAACACAAAACAUCAGAGCGAGAAAGGCAAAAAAGGGUAUCAAUCAAAUCCCCAGCGCUAGCUAAUCAUCUAUGAAAAAUCAAGCAAAAGAAAUUAAGAACGCUGGUAAUUUGCUGGUCAUUUGAAGACCCCUCCUUGUGAUGAGCUAAAUUUCAAAAAAUGUAAACACCAAGUUUAAGAAGCACAAAAAAAACUGCAAAAAGAAACAAUGAAUAGCUUGCUUAUGGUACCAAUUUACCGUUAAGCGUUUGCAGGCUAAGAGUGGUAACAUCAAACCCCUCCUCAUAGUACUUCUGGAAGAAAUGGCUGGGCGCAUCGACGUGAGUGCCAGUGUGGGUUCCCAGCUUAAACUGAGAAACAUUUGCUAUGGAGCCAUUUCUAAUGCUGGAAACAAGCCAAAUGAACUGACCAAGCCCCUUUUGGGAGUCAAAGGUUGGCAACUCAGAGGUGAUUUUGUGUGUUAUAUCAAAGAUUUUGCCAUUACCAUAAGCCACAGCAGCACCGGAGAGGAUGUUUACGGUGAGUAUCCCGGCACAAAGUAGCAGCAGGAGGUUAUGUUUGUUCAUGGUACUAGCCAUGGUAACCAUGGUGUAACUAGUAAGUAGUAAGUUGUAGAGGAAGAAAACCAAUAGAAUGAUGAAAUGAAAAGGACGUGAUUGGUGGAGUGUUGCAGUUCAAGUCAAUGAUUAAAGCCAACUACAUAUAAUCAUACACUUUUUUUUUAUCUUACGAAUGCCUCGGAAUAGAUCGGCCAGCCAUAUCAGAUCCAAGGGCUAGAUUAAUUUAUUUGGAUAGAAAAAGAAAAGGUUGUGCCAUCAAACAUCGAAAGGCAAUAUUUUGCCAUCUGAAUUUGGGGAGAUAAGUCUAAAGGUCCAAUCCUGGCCGCCCUCGUGGGUUCAAUUGUUAAGUGUUCACUGUUUCUUUUAGCAAAUUUUUUUAUAUAAAAGAAAUAGUAAUAUAAACAAAAUUAUGGACUUUUGACAAUUUGUCUGUUAUUCAGCCAACAAGCCUAAUCCAAAAUUUCUUACACAAUCAUAAAUGAUGGAUCCCAUUUGAAUCACACAUUUAGACAUGCACAGCACGUGUUUGCGAUAUUUACAAAAAAAAUAUUAAAUAUAACUUUUAUUUAAUAGUAAUGAUAAUAAUGUUUUUAUUUAAUUUAUUUUACAUUAUAAAAUUUCUUGACAUCUUUAUAAUCAAAUCUAAAUGAGUAUAGUAAUAAACUUUUUGAAGUCUUUUGAGAUUAUGUAAAUCUCUCUUAUUAAUUUUAAGUACAAUUGUUUUAUUAAAUUAAUAUAGUUAUUUGAAUACAUACAUAUCAAUUAUUCCAACUUGUUUAUAAAAUUUAAAAAUAUGUCCAAAGUUCUUAAUUUUGGCCGCCCUCAUGGGUUUGACUUUUUAGUCUUUAGCAAUCCCUUUUUUAUAAAAGAAAUACUAAUGUUGUUCUCGAUGCCGAUACUCUUUGUAAUUUGAAGAUUUGGUUGUCCUUGUAUGGCUAGCGUGUAGUGUUUCAACAGGAAUCUAACAAAAUAAAAUAAUAAAAUAAAAUUUUUAAUUGAUUUUUUUUAAUUUAAUAAAAAUAUUUAGUCAAUCACUUUUAACAUCUUUUAAAUUCACUUAUAUAUAAAAAGAUAAGUCACCCAGGUCAAAAAAUUAUGAAUUUUUCUAGGCAAAAAGUGUUGUAAUGAAAUCCAUGGCUUUGAUUGGCAAUCCACUCAAGGAUGUCGAACUUAAACACAAAUCUGAAUCACAUAAAUGUAUCCAAAAAGAUUUGUUUUCUUCAAUGCUCAUGCAAUUUCUGACAACCAAUAUCCGAAAGUCUGCAAAACUCAGCCAAUAUAUGAAGAAGCUAAAGCAAGGUAUGGCCCAUAUAAACAAGAGCAGGAAGGAGACGCACAUAUAAACACAACCCAUAUACUGACACACAUAUUUAUCUUUCAUAGAGAUGGCUUUUCCAAUUAUGGAUCUGUCAAAAUUAUUUCGGGAUGUCAAGAAGACUGAUAGACAUCAUUGCCGACAAUUGCAAGCAGUGACCAAAUCUAGCCAUGAUAUUCAGAAACACUACCAAAUAAGUGUAUGUUCCUAAUGUCAUCAAUCAAAAAGCUAAACAGAUGCAUUACAAGAAAAGUGUACUUCAAUGCAACUAAAUUUCUGCACUACAUCCUCUCUACAAGUGUGGAACAGCCUUCAGUUCAAACUCAUCAACUCUUUAUUUGUCUUAUUCCGAUCAACAACACCCCUUAGCGCUAUCAUUUUACCCUGCAAAAAUACAUGUUGAGUCUUCCACCAUAACUAACUAGAGAAACUGGUGUAAAAAAAUAUAGAUCGUUUGUUUUACCUAACAUAAGAAGCAGUUGAGCGUGUAGCAUUUGCAGAAGUUAAGCCUGCAGUAGCAAUUCCAUGCCAUUAGCGUGAAACGCAUGCUUUGCUUUCAAUAGUGGAAACAAUUACAAAACACAGGACUUACAAGGAAUAUAUAUCAUUUGAUGAGAAUGCAUCUUGUUGGCGAUCCUUCAGCACCAAGCAACCUUAAAGGUAAGCAAUGAACCGAAUAUAUCCCAGGUAGGAUGUCAUCAAGUUUUAGGCCUUCCACAAGAAUGAUAUCCUGAAGCAGAUAACAAGCAUUAGCAAUGUUUGGGUGUUUGCUGUUUAUACCACCUUUUUCUCCUUGACUCAGAGUACUGAGUAACAAAACUGAGGACUUUAUGUUACCAAACCUAUACACAUUAAAUAACUUGAUUUCAAGCUUCAUUAACAUUUCACAUUUAGAAGACUAGAACCAAGACAUGUGAGAGGAAAAGGGAAACAGAAACCCUAAUCUUGGAGCAGAUAUAUCAUUGUCAACUAGUUAAUCAAUUUUAAUGUGGUUAAAUCCAUUGGAAAAGCCAUACCAAUUUUUACUGUGAUCAACUCUGGCAUAGUUAGAGCUUAAAACACCAACAUCCCAAGAAGAAAAUGAACAAUUAGACUUAAGGGUUGCAAUUUAAUGAGCAGAGACCUAAGAAACGUCCCCAACACUUUGUUCAUCCAAGAAACAUGAUGGUUGGUUGAGUCCCCAAUAACAGUCAGGUCAAACUAAGGAAUGAGAACGAACAAACCAUUAAGUUGCUAAUUUCACAGUACUACAUUGAAAAUAAUUUAAAGAUGGAUUUUGCAAAUGAGUAGCCUAAGGGCACCUCUUUAAGGUUAAUUGAAAUACUAUUUGUAGUAUUAUUUUUAUAUUAAAUAGUAAUUGACAGUCAAUAUUAUGAAUUCCAACACAUUAGAAGAAAAUAUUGCUUAAUAUAAUAACCUUAAAAAUUGCCCUUAGCUCAUUCAUUAGCAAAAUGCUUGAAAGAGAUACUCCUUAAUAUAAGCCAGGAAAUCAAACUUGGCCAAGAAGACAUUAUGGAAUCAAGUAAUAGAAACACACACGGUAAUAAAUGUACACAAAGUAGUUCGCUGCAAUUCACGAACUUAAGAAGCAGGAAAUUACAUUUGACUCAGCAAUAAUAUGAAGUGGUCAUACUGGACAAUCAAGACUUUCAAAGAUAAAUGGAAAAUUAAUUGCCAAAACUAAAACACAGAAGAUAGUUAACACAUUAGAUGAUGAUUUCUUACCCGGCCUUCUAGAAAAACAAGAUGAGAUGGAAUCAGAUCAUCAAAGGCUGCAACAGAUAAGUAAUCAAUUCCUGCAUUUCAGAAUAGAGACAGACAAAUCAGCAAAACUACAAGAGUUCUGUGUUGAGCUAACAAUAACCAGAACUAAUUUAAAGUUUCGUAAUUUGAUUAAAAGUAACCUUUUUUUUUUAGAAUUUCUGAAGGCAACAUCUUACCAACAAAUUUGAUGUCAGUGUUUUUAACCAACCAUUCUGCCCCAUCCUUCAUAAAUCCCACAUAGCUUGUGUCAAACUCUUUCUUAAACAUUAGCCGCCUGAAAGUUGACAAAUUUAAGCUCAGAUUUUGCAUUCUUUGAACUAUAAAAGCUGCUCAUCAGAUUCCAUGGAGUAUUUAUGCAAUCACCUGUCGGUAUUUAAUGUUCUGAAAAGAACUCUACGUAUUCCCUUGGGUAUUUUCAAAGACUCCAUAACCUCAGCUAUAAUAAAGAAAAAUAGACAUAACUAUAAACUUAAAUACUAUGAAAAAACAUGAAAAUUAUGAAAAAGAAAGUGCAAAGGUACGGACCGGUUAUAUUUUUGUCCCUUGGAACAUCUACCAGCAGUGCAGGACCUAUAAGGGGAAAAUCCCCCCAACAAAGAUAAAAAGGAGAAUCAGAAAUCAGUUAUCAAAUAAGUGAAUUAUUUUUAAAAAUAUUAUUUACCGUUAAGUACUUCCAAAUCAAGAGUGUCCACAUCGAAGCCGGCAUCGAAGUACCGAUCAAUGACGUGGCCGGGAGCGUCGAGGUGCGUGCCGGUGUGAGUGGGAAGUUUCAUCUCGGAAUUAUUAGCUAGGGAACCGUUCUUCAUGCUUUUAGGCAACCAAAGGAACUGUCCUAUGCCGUCUUUGGAUUCCCACGACGGCAUGUCGGCGGUGUACCUAUGGCUGAUGUCGAAUAUUCUGCCAUUACCGUAGACUUCGCGACGGAUGGGAAUCAGAUUCUCGUCUCCUCCCGAGAGGCCGCAGUCGGUGGUGGAAUCCGUCCCGGGGAUGGAAGGGUAUGCGGUGGUGGCGGUGGAGAUGAAGGCGGAGGAGAGGAGUAGUAGGAGGAAGAGGGGAGUCAUUUUGGGAGUGAGGGAGAGGGAACGUAGAGUUAAGUGAACUGAGUUUGACGAGGAUUCGUAAGAACUAUCUGCUACCGGUUGAAAUCGUGCGCUAGUAUGAUUGGCCACGCGCUUUUUAGGCAGCGUGACUGUUUACGCUACAUAGGCUGACUUUUGAAAGGAGAGGUUUAUCCGUUUGUGGAUGACGAAAUUAAUAUAAAAUGAGAGAUACUGGUUUAGUUGAAUUUGAUCUUCCAUAUCUUCAAAACCAAUAAUUUGAUCUCAUUAUUUAUCUUUUAAUAAAAAAAACUCUAGUAUAUAUAAAAUUUAACUAAAUCUUUUAAUUAUAAAAUAACAGUUUAUCUAAUUCAAUACCAUAAACACAUCACACUAUUAAUUUAUUGAUAGCCAAUUCUUCUCAUUAUUUGAGACAAACCACUUUGCUUACAUUACAUGCUACUAAUUUAGGACCAGCCGGCUCUAAUUUCCUUCCAUACCACUUUGAUUGUCUCACUGAUCACCCCCAGACUCCAGGGUUAUUAUUAAUUCCUGCAACAGAUUUAAAGUCUAAUUUGCAUAAGCAUAGCAAAUCAUCAUAGCUAGCAGCUACUACGACCAAAUCUCUGGUAUAACUCCGAAAGACUUGCAUUUGCAUCAUUUCAUGAGAAUGCAUCUUAUGGGUGAUCCUUCAGCGCCAAGCAGCCUAAGAGGUAAGCAGUGGACAGAAUAUAUUCCAAGUGGCACAUCAUCGAGCUUUAAGCCUUCCACAAGAAUAAUUUCCUGGAGCAGCAGAUGGAAUAAUGUUAAUGACUCAGAGUUUUGACACCCCUUUUCAGCAGAUUAAAAUUCCAUGUUCCUUUUCUGUUGUCUUGAAAACAACUUUGGCAGCUAGUUUUAAAACCAUGGAUGAAGAUUCAAGGGGGGAAAACGUAAAAUAACAUCUGCUAAUUAACCAAAUAUGCAUCAUACUGUAGCAAUGUUCUUACCCUGCUCUCAAAAAAUUCAAGAUGAGCUGAAACCAGAUGAUCAUGGGCUGCAACGGAUAAGAAAUCGAUUCCUACAUUUCAAGAUAGACAAAUAAGUCAGCGCGAGUAGCAAUAUCUAAGUACAGUAAUCAGAUACCACAAGAGGAUUUUCUCUAAUCUCCCAAAUAUGUCCAAAUUAAAAAGAAGAAACAUCCUUGGCAGUCAAAAAAUUAUAUCAAGUACUGCACUUAUGUCCUAAUAUGAAGUUAAGACUUAAAGAACAUUUUGCAAGUUUUAACGUAGAGACAUCCCAGCAAUUCGCAUCCAUCACUCUGCACAUAUCUCACAUUUUUUUAAAACAAAAGCUAUAUAUCUUACCCACAAGUUUGAUAUCAGUGUUCUUCACCAACCAUCUUGCCCCAUCCGUUGUAAAUCCAACAUAGUUUGAGUCAUACUCCUUCGUAAACAUAAGCCGCCUGAAAUUGAAAAUUUUUUAGCCAGAACUAUCAUUUACCCUCAGUAAUGUAAUCUCUGUUCUUCAAACAAGCUGAAUGUACAGAUAAACGGACUGCUGUGCCAUGGAGUAACCAUUUUCACUAAAAGGAGCUAGGAUGCUAAAUAGAGACCGGAUGGUAGAAUGAAUGAAUGAAUGGAACCAUCCUAAUAAACUGGAAAAAUCAUACUAGUAAGCAUGUUUGGUACAGGGAAUAGCUAAGCUAUUCCUUUUCUAUUCCCAUGUUUUCUCUUUACCUCCGUUUGGUAAGUAAUGUCACAAGGAAUAGCUAUUAUUUAGUAUUAGCUAUUCCUUAAAAUGGGAUAAAACUCAGGUUUAACCAAACUCAAGCUCUUCCAUGAGUUUUGUUAUUCC